CAAAAUUUUCGUCUAUUUUUCUUCUUGACAUGUACCAAAUGUGAACUGUAUCCUUGUCUCCAGAGAAGGAGAUCCUCCACCAGGUUAAACCUCAAGACGCUGUCAACCGGGA